rnacentral:rRNA from 1 species
AUUGAACGCUGGCGGCAGGCCUAACACAUGCAAGUCGAACGGUAACAGGAAGAUGCUUGCUUCUUUGCUGACGAGUGGCGGAUGGGUGAGUAAUGUCUGGGAAACUGCCUGAUGGAGGGGGAUAACUACUGGAAACGGUAGCUAAUACCGCAUAACGUCGCAAGACCAAAGAGGGGGACCUUCGGGCCUCUUGCCAUCGGAUGUGCCCAGAUGGGAUUAGCUAGUAGGUGGGGUAACGGCUCACCUAGGCGACGAUCCCUAGCUGGUCUGAGAGGAUGACCAGCCACACUGGAACUGAGACACGGUCCAGACUCCUACGGGAGGCAGCAGUGGGGAAUAUUGCACAAUGGGCGCAAGCCUGAUGCAGCCAUGCCGCGUGUAUGAAGAAGGCCUUCGGGUUGUAAAGUACUUUCAGCGGGGAGGAAGGGAGUAAAGUUAAUACCUUUGCUCAUUGACGUUACCCGCAGAAGAAGCACCGGCUAACUCCGUG